AUGAAGUGGACGACGGCCUCAACGGGUGGGCGACGGCCGCUGCAGCUGAUGCACAAGCUCGCAUCGCCCUGGCGCCGAUCUCGCGCGGCUCAUGCGCAUUGCCACCCUCUCCUCCCUAGCUCAGCAGGAGGUUUGCGGGGCCACAACUUGGGCCGCUGCUGCCUCUUCCACCCAGCAGGACGAGCACGAGGCCUUUCUGAAUCUGAUGUAAGUGAGGUGGAGAUGAGAUGGGGACAGAAGAUCCUGCAGCGAUGUUGUUUCUUUUUUUGCCUGCUCAAGGUUAGAUGGAUGAGCCCGCCCUAUGUUCUAAUGAGUUCAUCUACGAGGGUGUUGUUCCUUUUUCAUCCGCUGAAGGUUUUCUCACUUCCUUCUACAUUGGUGCUCCAUUAUUUAGAUUUUCUGUUUUGUGAAACGGCAAAUGCUAAAUUCUGCAAUGACACUUUCUUUAAGCAUUGUGUUCGAUUUUUCCUUGGGUUUUCUAAACAUGAAGUGUACAGAUCUGAGGAUGAAGAGAAGAAGAAUUUAUCUAAAAGGGUGAAGAAGAUCAAGUUUAUAGUUACUGGAAUUGGAUAA
rnacentral:rRNA from 1 species